ACUGGCGGCAGCCUACACAUGCAAGUCGAGCGGCAGCGGGAAAGUAGCUUGCUACUUUUGCCGGCGAGCGGCGGACGGGUGAGUAAUGCCUGGGAAAUUGCCCAGUCGAGGGGGAUAACAGUUGGAAACGACUGCUAAUACCGCAUACGCCCUACGGGGGAAAGCAGGGGACCUUCGGGCCUUGCGCGAUUGGAUAUGCCCAGGUGGGAUUAGCUAGUUGGUGAGGUAAUGGCUCACCAAGGCGACGAUCCCUAGCUGGUCUGAGAGAAUGAUCAGCCACACUGGAACUGAGACACGGUCCAGACUCCUACGGGAGGCAGCAGUGGGGAAUAUUGCACAAUGGGGGAAACCCUGAUGCAGCCAUGCCGCGUGUGUGAAGAAGGCCUUCGGGUUGUAAAGCACUUUCAGCGAGGAGGAAAGGUCAGUAGCUAAUACCUGCUGGCUGUGACGUUACUCGCAGAAGAAGCACCGGCUAACUCCGUGCCAGCAGCCGCGGUAAU
rnacentral:rRNA from 1 species